rnacentral:rRNA from 1 species
UGAAGGUGAAGCCUGCCCAGUGACAAUCUGUUCAACGGCCGCGGUAUCCUAACCGUGCAAAGGUAGCGCAAUCAAUUGUCCCAUAAAUCGGGACUUGUAUGAAUGGCUAAACGAGGUCUUAGCUGUCUCUUAUAGAUAAUCAGUGAAAUUGAUCUUCCCGUGCAAAAGCAGGAAUACACUCAUAAGACAAGAAGACCCUGUGGAACUUAAAAAUCAGCAGCCACUCCUGAAUACUUACCACCACCGAACAUAUUUAUCCUAUACACUGCUGGCCUGCAUUUUUCGGUUGGGGCGACCUUGGAGAAAAACCCAUCCUCCAAAAAUCAGACCACCCAUCUUCACAAAGAAUAACCUAUCAACGUACUAAUAGUAACCAGACCCAAUAUAAUUGACCAAUGGACCUAGCUACCCCAGGGAUAACAGCGCAUUCUCCCCCAAAAGUCCCCUUCGACAGGGAGGUUUACAACCUCGAUGUUGGAUCAGGACAUUCUGGUGGUGCAGCCGCUACCAAGGGUUCGUUUGGUCAACCAUUAA